UACGAAUGGAGCAAGCGUUGUUCGGAAUCACUGGGCUUAAAGCGUGCGCAGGCGGACUGACAAGUCAGAAGUGAAAGCCCCGGGCUCAACCUGGGAACUGCUUUUGAAACUGUCAGUCUAGAAUCCGGGAGAGGUCAGGAGAAUUCCUAGUGUAGAGGUGAAAUUCGCAGAUAUUAGGAGGAAUACCAGUGGCGUAGGCGCCUGACUGGACCGGUAUUGACGCUCAGGCACGAAAGCGUGGGGAGCAAAC
rnacentral:rRNA from 1 species